ensembl:snoRNA LOC120098004 small nucleolar RNA SNORA17
CCUGCCCCUAGAGGCAUUGCAGACGUGACUGCUGUGUCACAUGUAUGUCAGUAGGUGGUACAGCAGAGAGAAUCUAUCUAUGCUUAGUGUACCUGACAUUCCCUGAAAAAAGUGAGUCUGAGAUG